GACGAACGCUGGCGGCGUGCCUAAUACAUGCAAGUCGAACGAAGCGGCGGAUGGGUGAGUAACGCGUGGGUAACCUGCCCUUAAGUCUGGGAUACCAUUUGGAAACAGAUGCUCAUACCGGAUAUUAAAGGAUGGACAUGCGAUGCACUAGAUAGUUGGUAAGGUAACGGCUUACCAAGGCGUUGAUGCAUAGCCGAGUUGAUAGGCUGAUCGGCCCCAUUGUGACUGAGAUACGGCCCAAAUUCCUACGGGAGGCAGCAUUAGGGAAGUGUCCGCAGUGGACGAAAGUGUGAUGGAGCAACUCCGCGUGAGUGAAGAAGGUUUUCGGGUCGUAAAGCUCUGUUGUUGGUGAAGCGGUAAUCAACCAGAAAGUCACGGCUAACUACGUGCCAGCAGCCGCGGUAAUUC
rnacentral:rRNA from 1 species